UUCUUCUGAAAUCAUCUAGAUUUUCAGAAAGAGUUUUGAAGGCAUCCAUCUUGUAUGUAAAGAAACGUUCUUUUAGAUAAACUAUAUUGGAUAGAUCUUUAAAUUGAUACAAAGAUUCUAAUUUUUUCCCAAAUAGCAUGAGGGGUUCCUCCAUCUAAGACCUGUCUAAGAUAUUAUCAUUGAGAUUCAAAAUAAUUGUACCAUAAGCAACUUCAUUCAUUGUCUCCCUUUGAUCUACUAGGCCCAAAAUGAAGACAACAACCCAAAGAGAAAAGAUAAGAAGGUGAUUCGAUGAGUUAUUUCAAUGAAGCCACGUAGCAGGACAGAUUACCACACGUUGAAGGAUGAAGAAGAAGAAGGAGAAGAAGAAUUUAUAUUGGUUCGACAGCUAUGGCCUACGUCCACUGUGAAACUGGAGCAAUCUUAUUACAUGGAUCAAUUUUGAAGGAGAUUAGAAAACCAAAUAAGUAUCUCAGGCUCUAAUUCAUUCACCUAGCUCUUUUAGAUUUCAAAUGGUGCUUUAUAUAGAUGAAGAGUGAAUUAGUUACACUGUUAAAAUAGUCUUCUGACUUCAACACAUUACAAACAAGAUCGACUUGAGAUUCAAAUAAAAGUUUUAACUUCUCGUA